rnacentral:lncRNA from 1 species
UACCCUAAAACCCGAUGAAAGUGGAAGACCUGAAAGACUAUGUGACAAUGUGGUGUAAAAAGAAGUAUGGUGCAGCCAACUGAUGCUAGGCGGAAUCGGGCAAUAACAGAAAGAAUUGGAUAUAUGCCAAUAAGUUUGCCAAAAAAGGAAUAAAUAUUCAGUGAAAAUGACUUCAGUGUAUACUUCUCUAGUGUUAAACGGCAGUUGCAUUUAAUGGAAUAAUUCUUAUUUUGAAUUUUAUAUAUAUUUAGCAGAUUAGAAAGCUUCAAAGGUAUUUCUAUCAUUCGUUUCUAAUUUGUCAUGUAAAAGUCAUUUUCAUGUUAUUAUUUUGAAUUCUGUGAAUUAAAUAAUUUACAAAGAA